rnacentral:rRNA from 1 species
UGGGGAAUUUUGCACAAUGGGCGCAAGCCUGAUGCAGCGACGCCGCGUGAGGGAUGAAGGCCUUCGGGUUGUAAACCUUUUUCGCUCAUGGUCAAGCCGCAGCUUUGGGUUGUGGUGAGGGUAGUGGGUAAAGAAGCGCCGGCUAACUACGUGCCAGCAGCCGCGGUAAUACGUAGGGCGCGAGCGUUGUCCGGAAUUAUUGGGCGUAAAGGGCUUGUAGGCGGUUGGCCGCGUCUGCCGUGAAAUCCUCUGGCUUAACUGGGGGCGUGCGGUGGGUACGGGUUGAGUGGAGUGCGGUAGGGGGGACUGGAAUCCCUGGUGUAGCGAUGGAAUGCGCAGAUAUCAGGAGGAACACCGGUGGCGAAGGCGGGUCUCUGGGCCGUUACUGACGCUGAGGAGCGAAAGCGUGGGGAGCGAACAGG